rnacentral:tRNA from 1 species
ACCUGGCUGGCUCAGUGGGGAGAGCGUUUGACUCUUGAUCUCGGGGUUGUGAGUUUGAGCCCCAUGUUAGGUG